rnacentral:lncRNA from 1 species
GCGCUGCUGAGACCCGCGUGUGCGGAGGGAAGUGGGGAACUGCCCCUUUUCCAAGGGCCUGAACACAGCUUUUGACUACUGACUGUCCUGUUCUGCCUUCCUCUUCGCGUGGGCCACCGCCCCACAGCGCCGCUGGGUUCCCUUCGCGGCCGCAUGGUACGCGUCCCGGGAGCGAAGCUUCCCCUGGGGGGAGCGCGCUAACCUGAGCUCCUUCGGUGCACCGCCCUGCCGACUGUCUGGAAGUCAGCAAUGGGAUAUUCCCACCACAACUUUACCGGGAUCUCUGGGUUGACUCUCUGGGUUGAGGAUCGGGGAGCUGGGUCGGGAGGCUGGCUUGUGGCUGUGGUUGAGGGGCCCGGACGCCUCGAAAGCAGGAGGGUGCCCAGGCGAAGUGCAGGCUGCACCAUGCAAUCUUCCGGGCGCAGAGGCGACCCAACCCGACCUGAGGGAGAUCCACGGGCUCUGGGCCGAGGGGAGACGCAGUGGAAUGAACUGAACUGCUGGUCCACAAGAACAGUUUUUCUAUCAAAGGAUACCAUCAAAUUCUGGCGAAGUUCUACAAAUCAUAAUCUAUUUCCCUUUUUCCAGAAAGGCAACUUGAUUCGGGGGGAUAUGGCAGCUUCCACUCUGAGGUGCCCUUACUUCAAAUCAGGCCCAGCCCAAGAUCGUGUUUUCCCUAAGCUGGGCUCAUCAUCAGAGAGGUGGGGGCCGGGCCAAAUCUUAAAGAGCCACUUGGCGACUCUAACGACUGGCAAAGAGGAAAGAAAUUGGAAUUCUAGUAGCAUGUAUCCAACUGUUUCAAACCUCCACCUGCUACAUGGGCGUGGCUUCUGAGAUCGACAUGCUUCCAACAGCUUAUACAGAGUGAACGGCAGAUGCGUCCUUUGGGGGUGAUCUCAGGGACGUCAGAAAGUCCCUGCCU